rnacentral:rRNA from 1 species
AUUGAACGCUGGCGGCAGGCCUAACACAUGCAAGUCGAGCGGAGCGGCGGACGGGUGAGUAAUGCCUAGGAAUCUGCCUGGUAGUGGGGGAUCACGUCCGGAAACGGGCGCUAAUACCGCAUACUAUCAGAUGAUCCUAGUGUGGAUUAGCUAGUUGGUGGGGUAAAGGCCUACCAAGGCAACGAUCCGUAACUGGGCUGAGAGGAGGAUCAGGCACACUGGAACUGAGACAAGGUCCAGAAUCCUACGGGAGGCAGCAGUGGGGAAUAUUGGACAAUGGGCUAAAGCCUGACCCAGCCAUGCCGAGUAUGGGAAGAAGUGCUUCGGAUUGUAGAGCACUUUAAGUUGGGAGGCGUUACCAACAGAAUAAGCACCGGCUAACUUCGUGCCAGCAGCCGCGGUAAUUC